GCGAGAAUAGCUCAGUUGGUAGAGCGCAACCUUGCCAAGGUUGAGGUCGCGGGUUCGAGCCCCGUUUCCCGCU
rnacentral:tRNA from 3 species